UUGAAACUGGAGUCACCGAGCAUGCGCAGGACAUAUUAACACGGGAGUUUAACUAACGCAACAGCAGGGACUUCCCUUUAUGUUUCUUGGCAUUCCUCCCACUGCCAGAGAGCCAGGCUGAGAUCCUCUUUGGGACUGAACACGAACGACUACGCUGUUACGAUGACAUGGGGCUGCUGAAUCCAACUGCCUGGUGAGUGACACCAACUUAAUGUGUGACUUUGCCCAACUCGCAAAGCUUCUUAGUCCAGUAACGUUUUCCCCUAACUGGAGGUGUUAUGGCGGAACAAAUUCUACAGCCCUGCCCACGCAGAUAUUUAUGGUAGACCCCUGCGGGAAGCGGGGACGGCCACAUGGGCCAAGAUGGCG
rnacentral:lncRNA from 1 species